GAUGAACGCUGGCGGCGUGCCUAAUACAUGCAAGUCGAGCGAACAGAUGAGGAGCUUGCUCCUCUGACGUUAGCGGCGGACGGGUGAGUAACACGUGGAUAACCUACCUAUAAGACUGGGAUAACUACGGGAAACCGGAGCUAAUACCGGAUAAUAUAUUGAACCGCAUGGUUCAAUAGUGAAAGACGGUUUUGCUGUCACUUAUAGAUGGAUCCGCGCCGCAUUAGCUAGUUGGUAAGGUAACGGCUUACCAAGGCAACGAUGCGUAGCCGACCUGAGAGGGUGAUCGGCCACACUGGAACUGAGACACGGUCCAGACUCCUACGGGAGGCAGCAGUAGGGAAUCUUCCGCAAUGGGCUAAAUCCUGACGGAGCAACGCCGCGUGAGUGAUGAAGGUCUUCGGAUCGUAAAACUCUGUUAUUAGGGAAGAACAAAUGUGUAAGUAACUAUGCACGUCUUGACGGUACCUAAUCAGAAAGCCACGGCUAACUACGUG
rnacentral:rRNA from 1 species